UACGUAGGGCGCAAGCGUUGUCCGGAAUUAUUGGGCGUAAAGAGCUCGUAGGCGGUUUGUCGCGUCUGCUGUGAAAGUCCGAGGCUCAACCUCGGAUCUGCAGUGGGUACGGGCAGACUAGAGUGUGGUAGGGGAGACUGGAAUUCCUGGUGUAGCGGUGGAAUGCGCAGAUAUCAGGAGGAACACCGAUGGCGAAGGCAGGUCACUGGGCCGCAACUGACGCUGGAGGAGCGAAAGCAUGGGGAGCGAACAGG
rnacentral:rRNA from 1 species